UUUUGCACCAGCAAGAAUCCCACCUUCAUCCCUGUACCAGCUGCCCCCAGAGUCCAGCCUGGGGCCGGUAACUCAUCCCCACGAUGUCCAGCGCAAGGAGGCAGUGCGCCCCAGAGCAGUUCUGGUGGCCGCCCCAUCUCCCUCCCCGCCCCGAAACUCACCGCAAAGCGCUUCCCACAGCUCUCAUUGCCACAGCACCUGCAGCAGUCAUUGUUCUUCAGGCCCAAGAACACCAGCGCAGGGAAGAUCAUCUACCGGCAAAAGAAGCAUCUCAGAGUGGGUCUGGUCUGGCAUGUGAAGGGGGGCCCGAGCCUGCCUGCCUGCCUGUGUGAGGAACCACAUCCGCAACGUGGGACUCGGUGACCAAAGAGGAUGGCAAGAGCUAACGGAGCCUCGCUGAGGUCCCCAACUGCUAUUGGAAACAAGGGGUAAAGAAAUCAUUAGCACAAGAGUGGAAGAGGAACCCACACACACCUCCUUCUCUUGGGAAAAAUAGCAGGAGGUGAGCCAGGAAGCCAGACACAGCGAGGGGAAUGAGGGUGCCGCCCAGGCACUUGGCACACCUCGCGGUGCACAUGCCGGGGAGGUAGGAUGCAGGUCUCGAUACGCGCCCCCUCGAUGCCUCCUUCACAGGCUCUCUUCUGAGUUAUCCGCCGCAGAGGCGUAAUAAUUGUCCCCAGAUCAAUCCGAAC